rnacentral:rRNA from 1 species
GACGAACGCUGGCGGCGUGCUUAACACAUGCAAGUCGAACGGUGAACCUCCCUUCGGGGAGGGGAUCAGUGGCGAACGGGUGAGUAACACGUGAGCAACCUGCCCCUAGUUCUGGGAUAA